rnacentral:lncRNA from 1 species
AGCUAGCUAGUUAUUUUUUUAUUUAAGUAGGUAGUGAGCUAGCUAGUUAGUUAUUUAGUUAAGUAGGUAGUGAGCUAGCUAGUUAUUUUUUUAUUUAAGUAGGUAGUGAGCUAGCUAGUUAGUUAUUUAGUUAAGUAGGUAGUGAGCUAGCUAGUUAUUUUUUCAUUUAAGUAGGUAGUGAGCUAGCUAGUUAUUUUUUUAUUUACAUAGGUAGUGAGCUAGCUAGUUAGUUAUUUAGUUAAGUAGGUAGUGAGCUAGCUAGUUAUUUUUUUAUUUACAUAGGUAGUGAGCUAGCUAGUUAGUUAUUUAGUUAAUUAGUUAGCCAGUUAGUCAGUCAGCAUCCUGAAGUGAAAAUUGGAAGACAGCAAGGUGUCUAACAUCCACCAGCUCCUUGAUUUUAUGUGAGGCGUGUACUCACAUUCAUCCAUCCAUCUCCCUAUUCUCCCUAGUUUUACCCAACAAUAAAACUAGUUACAGGUUUAAUUUUUGCAUAAAUCCUCACUCUGCUGAUUCAACCCUUUCAGAGACGAUUGUGUGUGUAUGUGUGUGUGUGCGCGAGUGUGAUCUAGCAGAUGCCUUCAGCCUGCCUCGCUCUCCCUAAAAGGACCGGCACUCCUCCGCUCCCCGACCGCGGCCCAGGCAACCGUUGCCACGGCAACCACGCUGAGAUGGCAUCCUCUGACUCCAGCUGACUGUAACGCUCCUCCUUCCCCUCCUCCACCACCUCUCUCAUUCUCACUCUCUAUCUCUCUCUCUCUCAUUAUAUUUCACUCUCUUAAAAUUUACAUCCAUCUCUCUCUUUUUCUCUCUCUCUCACUUUUUUCUUUCUCACUUCAUGCAUCCAUCUACCUCUCACUCUUACUAGCUUUCUCUUUCUCACUUCAUACAUCCACCCAUCUCUGUCUCUCACUCUUUCUCUCUCUGUCUUUAUAUGUAUCUCUCUUUUACACUCUCUCUCUCUUGUCUCUCUCUCUCUGUAUUACGAGCGUGUUCCCAGGACCCCAUGGACACCAUCAAACCUGCUGCAUCUUCGCCCAUACUCUCUCUCCAUUCUCCAGUGAGAAUAGCAGGCCCACACGCACCGAGGCGCAGAUGUGUCGUCUGUGACCUUUCGAUGUGGCGGUCAAGGAUUGUCGGCGAGUGGAGUGUCUUGUCACCUGCUAGAGAAUCUAACACACUUCGCUUGAUCAGCACAACAUACUACUGUCAUGUUGUCCUUGGGGCAGGAUGGCGAGUGUGAGUUGUGAGAGUGCUAGUGAACGCUAAUAGCCUCUGACAGACACGACCACAGCCUUCUGCUGGUCAAUGCCUGAUCUCCUCUGCAGCGCGGCGAGGCUGUGCUGAUGCUACGCCUCGGCGGGCGGGUGCAGACAGGGAGCUUUCAACAUCAGACACUGUUCAACACCCUGGAUAAAGGGUGUCAUCACAAACACACAAACACACACACACUUCUUUAUGUGUGAAUACUGAAGUCUGUGAAGGAACAUGAAAGAAAUUA